UUACUGGAUACCUCCGAACCUUACAGCUAUUAGGUUACGCAGAGACAAUCAACCAGACGUCGUCCUGGCGUCCGCCUACUUACCAGGUGACGAGGACGUGCCCACUCCAGAACUCGGCCUUCUGGCUGACUACUGUGAGAGGGAGAAACUGGAGCUAAUCAUCGCGGCGGACUCCAAUGCGCACCACACGUUAUGGGGUAACGCUAGUACCAACACUCGAGGCGCGACAGACAGCCCCCUGUGCAGAGGCUGUUUCAGCGCAGAGGAAACA